AAGUCGUAACAAGGUAUCCGUAGGUGAACCUGCGGAUGGAUCAUUACAAAAAUCUGAAACUACUUCGUUUCAAUUUACCAAAUGUGAACUGUUUGAAGUAUUAAUUUACUUCUAAUCAUUUUAUUAAACACUUAAACUUAUAACACACAACGUAUGAAAUGCAUAAAACUUUUAGCAAUGGAUCUCUGGGCUCUC
rnacentral:misc_RNA from 1 species